rnacentral:lncRNA from 1 species
UACUAUUUGGGCUUUUCAGCAGUCUUAUGAAGAUGCAAUUGGGAUCCAGAAUAGAAUCAAGUAUUCAAUAAGGAGCAGACGCAGAAUUCGAACCCCAAAUC